rnacentral:rRNA from 1 species
UUACUCCUACGGGAGGCAGCAGUAAGGAAUAUUGGUCAAUGGACGCAAGUCUGAACCAGCCAUGCCGCGUGAAGGAUGAAGGUCCUCUGGAUUGUAAACUUCUUUUAUAUGGGAAGAAACCACUUUUUUCUAAAGGUGUUGACGGUACCAUAGGAAUAAGCACCGGCUAACUCCAUGCCAGCAGCCGCGGUAAUA